GGGAUAUAAGUAUUGGCGCGCUCAGAGCUCGGUCUCUUUCCCGAUGUCUGUUGAGAGGAGAGGCAAAAGAGCGACUCAACUGAUAUUGAGAGAGUGACUGCCUGGUUGUGUGUGUUGUACAGGUAUGUAAAUUGAUAUUUAGGAAACACUAUUGCUGUAAUUGUGAAUAUUAAUAUAUUUUUAUAUAAGAAUUAUAUAUAUUCAUAUUGUUAUUAUUAUUAUUGUUAUUUUAUAUUAGUAUUAUACAUUCUGUGUAUGUACAUGUGAAAGUGUAUAUGGAGAGUUCGCUCUCUUUCCCGAUGUCUGUUGAGAGGAGAGGCAAAAGAGCGACUCAACUGAUAUUGAGAGAGUGACUGCCUGGUUGUGUGUGUUGUACAGGCACAAUAAAAUCACCUCAGCACGACCA